rnacentral:misc_RNA from 1 species
UGCUCAGCCUCGCGCCCAAGGGUGACGGUCAUCCCGUGCUGGUGCUGCCGGGAUUGAUAACCAGCGACAACGCGACGCGUCCGCUGCGCUCGUUCCUGAAGAGCCGCGGCUAUGCCGUGAGCGGUUGGGGCCUUGGCCGCAACUUCGGUCCGCGCGCCGGUGUGCAGGACGCCAUGAUCAAUCUCGUGCAGGAUCUCAACGAGACGCACGGCCGCAAGGUCAGUCUUGUGGGAUGGAGCCUCGGCGGAAUCUAUGCACGGCAGUUGUCGAAGAU